UUGAACGCUGGCGGCAGGCCUAACACAUGCAAGUCGUACGGUAACAGGAAGCAGCUUGCUGCUUCGCUGACGAGUGGCGGACGGGUGAGUAAUGUCUGGGAAGCUGCCUGAUGGAGGGGGAUAACUACUGGAAACGGUAGCUAAUACCGCAUAAUGUCGCAAGACCAAAGAGGGGGACCUUCGGGCCUCUUGCCAUCGGAUGUGCCCAGAUGGGAUUAGCUUGUUGGUGGGGUAACGGCUCACCAAGGCGACGAUCCCUAGCUGGUCUGAGAGGAUGACCAGCGACACUGGAGAUGAGACACGGUCCAGACUCCUACGGGAGGCAGCAGUGGGGAAUAUUGCACAAUGGGAGCAAGCCUGAUGCAGCCAAGCCGCGUGUAUGAAGAAGGCCUUCGGGUUGUAAAGUACUUUCAGCGGGGAGGAAGGGAGUAAAGUUAAUACCUUUGAUCAUUGACGUUACCCGCAGAAGAAGCACCGGCUAACUACGUG
rnacentral:rRNA from 1 species